GACAACGUGGCCGAGCGGUUAAGGCGUUUGACUAGAAAUCAAAUUCCUUCGGGAGCGCAGGUUCAAGUCCUGCCGUUGUCG